rnacentral:misc_RNA from 1 species
UUUUUUAUUUUUUAUUUUUUAUUGAAAGAUAGACAGUUUUUUCCUUUUUUUUUUAAUAACUAGAAAGACAUAGACUUCAUUCAUAAUUGGUCUAAAAAAAAAUAAAAAAAAGACAUUUAAAUGCCUAGUAGAACGCCAACGUAAAUCCAGAAAAGACUCGCAAACCACCAAAAGGCCUAACUGAAAGGUUAGGCCCAAAGGCUAAAAAAAGAGGAAAUUCUAGGACUUGGUAGAUCCGACUUGCAAAGACCUGAAAGUCGACACGGGAGGCAAUUCUUAACCGCUUGAAACCCCGUAACACACGAUUAAAGUAAGGGAUCGAACAAGAGCUUAUACAGAGGAAGCUUCUUGAAAUGUUAGCAACCAAAAAAAGAAGGCCCCAACGAGACCAGAGAGAAUCUCUGCAAGGCUUACAUCACCCACACAUCCCUAUGUAGUCGAAAUAGGAAACGGUCUCAGAGGCUCGACCAGGUUGAGGCAUUCUUCAUAGCCAUGGAAGGAUUGGACGGUAGCAGAGGCGCUAGUAACAUCCCUGAAGAUGCCUAGCUCUUCAGAAUUAUUAUGGCCGAAUCCUUCUCCCAAAGCACCAGAUGACAUGAGACGUGGAAGCAACCACAACCAUCAAGCACUAAAGAAUCAACUCUCACAAUAGAUUGAAGAAGAUAUGAAAACAAUAACAUGCAGGUUGAGACGAAGUUCCUCACAAUCAGAACCAGCAUGCAAACAACACACCCAAACUCUAUUUAUAGCCUAGCCCCAGAGACAAGAAGGGAAACUCACAAGAGGAACACUAUUCCUGCCUGAAAGAAGCAGGGGAUAGUCGCAGCUUGGCAGACGGAAACAAAGAGAGAAAAAUCUCUCUCUAGAAGGACAACUAUGCGUUGUCUGAUGAUUAAGACCAUCCAACAGCUCAAAGAGCUCUGACCACACAGUGUCCCUGGAACUUUUCUCUUCGGAGUUGUUG